ensembl:lncRNA
GGACUGAUCCGAUAAAAACACAUAAACACUUCCUGGUCUGAGCUCUGGGUUGUUAUGGAUAAGGUUGACUUUUUAUGUCCACAACACUAUUAUAGGUAAAUAUACCAGUAUCGUAUGCUAUUUGUGGUAUUAUAUCGAAUUCUAGUAUUGUAAGUGUAGGGUAUCACAAUAUUUAUGAAAGGUCUUCUAUUAAAGUAACUUUGUUACUACUCUCUGUGUUUGCCGUUUGCACAUGUAUUUUAUAACUUAAGUUGUGUUUGGAGUAUUUUCAAACGGAUAAGUGGAUAUUGUAGCAAAGACUCAUUCAUAUUUGUGUUCUUGAUGAGAACAUAAUACUCCUGGGAAUUUGCUUUUAGCUCGUCGUGUGCAUUUUAGGUAAAGAUAAAGCUUGUUUUUUUUCUAUGACAAACUAUAUGCAUCACUCUUUUUAAAAUGGUUCAUAUAUUUUACACAUUAGUAGCAUGAAUCUAAUAAAACACAUUAAUGUGUUUACACAGACAACAUCUUUUGCUCGUGAAUCACAUUGAGCCCUGUAAUUAUUGACGGCUACAUUCCUCCAGCCAAGCAGAGGAGCAAAGAAAUAUCCCAGAUCACCGUACUCUGACAUGUUUGGCUAACCGGAUUGGAAUCCACUGAUAAGAAAGCGAAGAUAGGGCUCACUGAGGGACUCCAGGGUGUGAGGAAACAUGCCGAAGUGUCGGAUGGAGCAAAAACAAAAAAACUGCUGGCAUUGCAGCCACUCUGUCGUGCACAUUUAAGCUUUGCACUCCUAUACAUGGUGCUUGUACACUUCCACCAGCAUGAUGACCAUACCAGCUACACACUAUGUGUGUGAGAUAAGAGCAGUUCUAAGGAUGGUGAAUGAUUGAGUGUGUGUAUGCACAUGCACAGCGGUAGCGUGUGUGUUGGCGCGGAUGUGGAAAGCAGAGCAGCGGUGCGUUUGUUGACAGGAUCUGUCAGCACAGUGAGUCACAGACAGAGAGACGGAGAAACCUGCCCAGUGAGACAUGGCUCCUCGUUGUCUCCUCGAAUGGAAUUCCUGGGAAUUCCAGGCCCCAUAGAUUGUUAUCAGAGCCAAAGACCCUCAGCCAGAGGAUUGUGUUCCGACCAAGCAAGUCACACUGUUCUGGAUAUUGAUGAAUCACUUUCAAUUUGCAGUCCUUGUGAGAUUAUUCAUUUAUUCAUUUUAAGGUUCCAAUCAACCAGAGGUGGUUUAAAUGUUUGUGAACGUGUCAUCAGUCUCUCAGUUGUGUAUUGUUUUGAAACUGGCAGGAACAACUACCAGGACAGAACACGAGGAAUCAAUCCGGCACACGGUGAGUAAGCCGGGUCAACUGGCACUAGACACUCCUGUGUGUGUGUGGACUGCAACACGUUGGGUACCUCUGCAGUGGAAUGUGUUCAAGAGCUGCCAAAGGAUAACUCAUCCUCCAUAUCUUUUGUCAUUUCCAACUAUUCCCAAGAGUCUGCUGCUUCUGAACGCCUCAGAUGGGUUCAAUUUCAAAUAUUAUCAUAAGUCAUGGUUUUAAUACGGUUUCGUUUUUUCCAGAUGGAGGAUUUGUGAGCAGUAAUUAAAGAUUGACUUCUUGAAGAACAGAAGGGCUCAAGACUGAGAACCACAGAACAUAUUCAAAGAAAUCAAUAGAAUAUUUGUUUUGACCCAAUAUCGUGUUUGUAAUGAUGUAUUGAUAUGGAAAGUAUGACUCCCAACCACUAGGUGGAGGCACCUGCGGUGCAUAAACAGAGCAUCUAGGAUCGGGUGAGAGAAAGACUACGAGAAUGCUAUUACAUGUUUAUUACAUGUUCACCUAUUUACCGACAGCUAUUUAUUUAUAAUUUUGCUGGAAACCGAAUUUAUUUAAGCAAUGAUCAAACAUAAAUCACUGCUAGAGGCUUAAGCUUCUAAUCAUGAGUAUCUCCAAGACGUUUUGACAUGUAUGCCAAUUUUUACUGUUAACAGAUAUGUAGUAUCAAGCCACAGCCCUUUGAGGGAACUACCCCAUUCUCUGAAAUGCAGAUACCUGGUUGGAUAACGCUUAGUUUUAACAUGAUUUAAACGGAGAUUUUCAGCAAUGAUUCCAAUGUCCAACUAUCCCACAAUGUUGCUUUAAAUUACCCAUGAUUCUUUUAAACCCAUGGCCACAUCAGUGAAUGUCCACCAUGUUAUGGUACAAAUCAAGCCUCUUACCUCCUCCAUUUUCCCCAAUCAAACAUCCUCUAAUCUUCAAGCAGCUGAAUGUGUGUUGACCUGUCAUGCAUUCUGCUGAGGAGGAUUUGUGUACGUUCCAUGAUUUGUUUAUGCGAACCUCCUUUUGAUGGAACUGACCCAACAAAAAGAAGCAUUUACCCCCCUUCCUAUCCCAUCCAGACAUUUGUUCAUCUUCACAGGCACAUCUGGUGCAUAUGUAAAGACAAUGCUGAGUGACUGAUCCAGCCUUCCUGUCUCUCUGGCAGCAGAUCUAUUAUUUCAGCUGCUAAGUUAAGAUGCAUGACAUGCCGGCUUCUCUCUCCACCUUUGGGCCUUUCUAAUUCAGUAUGGAUAUAUGUGCCCGUACAUCUGAAGUGAGGCCCAUAGCUUUCAAGCUUCGGCUAAAAAAGACACCCGACCCCAUCAUUGAAUAGAAAGAGCAUAUCUAAUAUUUUGUUUGGUUGAAUGAGUAUUAAAAUGUACGUGGGUAAUCUUCUGGGGUAUGCACCAUAUGCGUAGCAAAAAGCUUCCUUUUAAAUUUGGUUAAAGUUGGCCUCAUUCAGUGGUGUUCCUAGAAAUCCAGUUUCUAGAAAAAAGGGGGGCUUAGAGCCAAGAGAGGCAUGUUUCCAUUGUUUCAGACAGCGCUGGUUCAAUCAGAAAUAGUGACUUUGCUCUGUAGUUUUGCUUGCAUUCAGGAUGAUGAACACAACAUUAUCAACAUUUCUAUCUAUUUUGUUGUCUAUAUAGUUUUUAAAUACCAGUGAUAUUUUAUGCUCAUUUGGUCACCAUCACUGAGAUAAAUAGUAGGCAGAUUACUUGUAAUCAUUUACUUUACCACAGUUAUACCAUUGAGAAAAUUGAUGUUCAGUGUAUCCAUUCCCUUUUCCAGGUAGUGACGUCGUAGGGACAUUAACAGGGACUGAAUCUAGGCGGUUGUGCACAGCUAACAUAUCUUGGGUGGCCAUCCAGCCUCCGUUUUGCGGGCAAGGAAUGCUGAUGUGCUUGGCAAGCUCAGCCAAGUGUGAUUCACUCAAGAAGUUGUCAGAUUUUGGGCUGGAUGCCUGGAUGCCUUUUAGUAGGUCUGCAUAGAAAAUUGUAGUUCAAGCUCACUAACCAUCCAGUCCACACAAGGAAAGUCUGCUUUUAAGGUCUGUGAACCGAUCAACUGGGCCUGAACCCAAUGUUGUCUCCAACUCAAAAUCCUCCAUUUUGUGGUUUGUGCCUUUUCUCAGCAUCUGGAUCUGGGAUACUGUGGGUAUGGCACAGGGCUUUAGUUUUCUUACACAGCUCUGUUGCAGAUAAAUCUGUGCGUUUGCCCCUCAGUGUGUCACAUAUAUGCUGAUAAAAGCUUCUGCCAGGUCUAAAGUCUCUUUCUGAAGGAACUUCAGUUACGGUGUCUGAAACAUCGGUGGUUAAUAGACUGUUGAGAACAGCUACGGGGGAUCAAAUGGCAGAAAGACACUUAAAAAUGGCAGGUAAUGUCUCAAGUAUUGCAUUGAUUGAUUCCAGCUGGCAUGCCAAGCGAGUGUUUGAAAGUUGAACGAGCUCAACUGCUGUCAAGCCGAGCUUGGACCGAGCCUCUGAUGAUUGACUAUGGCUGCGGUUCCCAAACUUUUUAGGUCGCGCAUCCCCUUCUACAUCCCAACUGGGUUCAUGCACCCGCAAUCCCCCACACUUAAAAAGAAAAAGUCUAUUUAUAGCUGCAUUCAAAUUGGACCAAUGACAGAAUAGUUUGCGGGUGGUGUUUGUUUACAAUAUUUAGUCCGCUGUUAAAUGUUGCAAUGUGAACACAGACCGAACAAAGGGGCGACUUCAACACUCAUAUUAAUUCUGAAUCACUAAAAAAACGACAAAUACCCUGAAACACUGCAACAAAGAUUCAAUGACACUGGUAACUGGCAUCAUCUCAUUCUGACAUGUUGGCAGGAUGUAGUAAGCAUUUGGGGGAGGAUUUUUAUUUUUAUCAGUACUUCCAGUUCCAUGCAAGCAAGAAAGUUACCUGUGUUUGUGCUCACUCGGCCUGUAUCACCGCCACAAAAACAGAGUUCCUGGUGCCGCCAGUUGGAGGUGACCGCAACGGUGGGACGAAGAUACUCCCUUCUCUCUACUAUCUCACUUGCAUGUUCAGAUGCUACCAUCUGUGCAACGUUUCCUUGUCGGCUAGCUGCCUUGUAGCUUUGCUAUGCGACAGCACUGUUCCUAUGUGUUGGUGCCAUCUCGUGCUUGCCAAAGAUAAACAAUUCUUUAUUCCAGAUGUUGCAACCGCUAACUACCAAGGAAUCAUGUUCGAUUUUUUUGUCAAACAAGCUUCGUGGAAAGCAGAAAGCUGCAUUAAGGUUGACUGAUUUCUAAAACUAAACAACUGUGCUUCUGAAAGCAGCUGUGGUGAAAUGACCUGUUCAGAGCACCAACGCUGUCCUGUGGGUAGAUCAUCUUCAGCUUAACCUGUCUGGGCACUGAAUCAUUAGUCGCUGCAGCUGCUGGUCUGUCUCUUGCUUUCUCUGAUUCCUGCCUCUCCUUCCGCAUGACCCUUUAAGAUAAGUUCAAACAUUGAAACAUUAUCUGAUCAAAGCAGUGACGCUAAGUUUAUGACCUGACAUGAAAAUAUCAUGAAGUAGCCUCGGCCUGACAACAAAUGCCUGUACAUUUCCACCACAGUAGAAGAAAUAAAAAAACGCCACUUGUUUCUUGUAGACCUGUAGCCCACUGACCUCCAUCACACAGGCUCCUUCAGCCCCGUCAGUGUCCUGCUUCGAUCUGCCAGAAACAAAAUCCGAAAAAAUCUUCUUUAGAAUGAAUUGGAUCGUAUACCGGUGCAUUUUAAGGGGUAGGUGCUCAAACCAAAACAAAAGGGCACCCAUCGCCAAAAUGAUUCAUGAAAUUAAAAAUACUAAUAAUAAAUAAAUAAAAAACACAGUAGGAUAUUUUCCCUGUCCUUCAGGUUUUGGAAUCAAAUUUUGUAAAUUAGAUAAAUCAAUGUUGUGCAUAAUAAAGAGUGACCAGCUCUAUAACGAUGAAAAGAGUUGAAGUAUAAGCAGCAUUACACUAAUAAUAUACCACAAUACACCUCAACAGACUGUCAUGUAGCUCAACUUAAGACCUAACUUUCUUUUCAAUAAUUGAAUUAAAUGAAACAAAACUAGCGACCUUGUCUCAUAUGUAGAACAGUAAAACUUCCUUUAAACUCUCUCUCUCCAUUAAACAUGACAAACUUCAGUGAACAGCUGGAAAUCGCGGAUUUCGUAAGUUUUUUGUUUUAUUUUUUAGGAACCGUCGGACCAGUUGCGACGUAAUGUUUUCAGCGGCGCUAACAUUGUAAUUUAUCACUAAACAACGUUGGGGGUUUGCACAAACACCGCCAUCACAUGCGUGUCUGAUGCUGCAGACGUUUCGCGUUCAGCAGUACACGAGCACCUGGAGGAGGAGGAAGAGGAGGAUGAGGGGCAGUUUGGUCAGGGCCGCGGGGCAGUUCGGGUCGAAAUUCUCACAAUAACUCAAAUAAAUGCCCCGUCGGAUAUCAAUAUAUAUAUAUCUGUGCACGGGACUGAAUUGCGCAACGGGGGACACUACGACAUGGAGUUUUCACCAUUUAUAUGUAUUUUUUUUCAGAAAAAUGUUUUAUUUUGAAAAUUGAUUGAAUUGUUGCAGAGACUAGAACAUUUGAUUGGUAUCAAAGGAACUGCACUCAGCUGGUUUAAAUCCUACUUAUCGGACCGAUCCCAGUUUGUGCUUGUAAACGGUGAAUCCUCAAAGACCACCAAUGUUGGUAAGGGAGUCCCACAAGGUUCUGUACUGAAGAGAAGAAACCAGAAGAGACGGACCAGUUAGUUAGACUUCAAGAAUAUCUUAGAGACAUCAAAACUUGGAUGACCGGCAACUUCCUGAUGCCAAACUCCUCAAAUUUAUCCUGAUAGGCCCAGAGCGCCUUCGAAGCCAGCUGUCACGUGACACCGUUUCUAUGGAUGGAAUUGCUCUGGUACCCAGCAGCACCGUCAAUAAAAGACCAGGAUAUGACCUUCAACGCUCAUAUAAAGAAGACUUCAAGGACUGCCUUUUUUCAUCUACGUAAUAUAUCAAAAUUCAGGAACUUCCUGUCUCAAAGUGAUGCAGAAAAAUUAGUUCAUGGGUUUGUUACUUCUACACUGGGUUAGUGUAAUUCUUGUAAAUCUCUUAAGCCUCUCCAGUUGAUUCAGAAUGCUGCAGCACGUGUAUCAACAAGAACUAAAGGCUGACGCAUGCUUCUGCGUCUGCGUCGACGCACUCGUUUCACUUCAUGGUUCUAAAAGUCUUGCGCGUGUUGCAGAGAAAUUCACCGCCAGAACAACAGGCGGAGUAACGUGUUUGGUUGAAGACGACCUAGAGAGUCACGUCUAUUUAUUUAUUUGUUUGUUUAUUUAUCAUAGACUUUAUUGCCUCGUGCAUCGCCACUGCUGCUUUUCAUCGCGGACACAUUUGUCCCGUAAUUUCUUCCACAACUUUGUGCACCUCUUAAACCGGCGUUUGCGGCGAUCUCCCUCCAUGAAUCCAACCCGCUUCUACAACAAGGACGCAAGGAGGUGUGAAAAGCGACGCAAGGGACACGCAAGGGGGUCUUGCGUCGCUCUGAAAAUACAGAAGCAUAAACUAGGCUUAAGAAAAGGGAUCAUCAACCAGAUUCGGUCAGCUCUUUUAAUGUAAAACUUAAAACUUCCCUUCUUGAUUGUGCCUAUAGUUAGGGCUGGCUCAGGUUAGCCUGGACCAGCCCUUAGUUAAGCUGCUAUAGGCUUAGACUGCCGGGGGACUUCUUAGGACACACCGAGCUCCUCUCUCUUUAUACAAUAAUCCACGUUAUAUUAUUGCACAUGACUAAUUCAGCUUCUUUCCGGGAGUUUUUUUGUGCUUUCUCCCCUAGCAGGUCUCCGUAGAUCCUAGUUCCUUCUGGACCCUGGUCCUGACAUCUGCCGCUGCCAUCAUCAUCAUCAUUAUUAUUUUAAAUAUUAAUCAUAUUACUGUACUCAUAAACCAACAUUACCCUCUCCUUAAGUCUCUGUGCUCUCCCCUCCCCACAGGCUUCUGUGGAUGGUGGUUCUAUCUGACGGUGGUUCUAUCUGACGGUGGUUGCCCCUGCAGUGGCUUACUACUUGAAUAAUUUCUGUCAUGUUAAUUGAAUAUUUUAUACAGGUCAAUGUCAAUUUUAUUUAUAUAGCACUUUUAAAGCCCAAUG